rnacentral:rRNA from 1 species
AUUGAACGCUGGCGGCAGGCCUAACACAUGCAAGUCGAACGGUAACAGGAAGCAGCUUGCUGCUUCGCUGACGAGUGGCGGACGGGUGAGUAAUGUCUGGGAAACUGCCUGAUGGAGGGGGAUAACUACUGGAAACGGUAGCUAAUACCGCAUAACGUCGCAAGACCAAAGAGGGGGACCUUAGGGCCUCUUGCCAUCGGAUGUGCCCAGAUGGGAUUAGCUAGUAGGUGGGGUAACGGCUCACCUAGGCGACGAUCCCUAGCUGGUCUGAGAGGAUGACCAGCCACACUGGAACUGAGACACGGUCCAGACUCCUACGGGAGGCAGCAGUGGGGAAUAUUGCACGAUGGGCGCAAGCCUGAUGCAGCCAUGCCGCGUGUAUGAAGAAGGCCUUCGGGUUGUAAAGUACUUUCAGCGGGGAGGAAGGGAGUAAAGUUAAUACCUUUGCUCAUUGACGUUACCCGCAGAAGAAGCACCGGCUAACUCCGUG